rnacentral:rRNA from 1 species
AUUGAACGCUGGCGGCAUGCCUUACACAUGCAAGUCGAACGGCAGCACGGGUGCUUGCUCCUGGUGGCGAGUGGCGAACGGGUGAGUAAUACAUCGGAACAUGUCCUGCAGCGGGGGAUAGCCCGGCGAAAGCCGGAUUAAUACCGCAUACGAUCUACGGAUGAAAGCGGGGGACCUUCGGGCCUCGCGCCAUAGGGUUGGCCGAUGGCUGUUUAGCUAGUUGGUGGGGUAAAGGCCUACCAAGGCGACGAUCAGUAGCUGGUCUGAGAGGACGACCAGCCACACUGGGACUGAGACACGGCCCAGACUCCUACGGGAGGAAGCAGUGGGGAAUUUUGGACAAUGGGCGAAAGCCUGAUCCAGCAAUGCGGCGUGUGUGAAGAAGGCCUUCGGGUUGUAAAGCACUUUUGUCCGGAAAGAAAUCCUUGGCCCUAAUACGGUCGGGGGAUGACGGUACCGGAAGAAUAAGCACCGGCUAACUACGUG